UACGAAGGGGGCGAGCGUUGUUCGGAUUUACUGGGCGUAAAGGGCGCGUAGGCGGCCACCGCAAGUCGGUUGUGAAAUCUCUGGGCUUAACCCAGAAAGGUCAACCGAUACUGCGGGGCUAGAGUGCAGAAGGGGCAACUGGAAUUCUCGGUGUAGCGGUGAAAUGCGUAGAUAUCGAGAGGAACACCUGCGGCGAAGGCGGGUUGCUGGGCUGACACUGACGCUGAAGCGCGAAAGCUAGGGGAGCGAACGGG
rnacentral:rRNA from 1 species